rnacentral:lncRNA from 1 species
ACACACACACACACACACAUCCCCCCACACACUCAUCCCCACCCAUUCACCCCCACUCAUCCCCGCGCACACUCACACACACACACAUACACCAAUACAUACAUUAUCACUUACAUUACACACUAUCACAGACACACACACACACACACACAUCUGAACACCCAUCCACAAACACACGGCCACUCACUUACACGCACACACAUACAUACUUGCACAAACGUGCGCAUACACCCACAAGCACAAGCGCCACCCGAACACCCUGCCUCAAACAUAUGGUCUCCCAAAUAUACAUACAUACACAUACAUGCAUGCAUACGCAUGCAUGCACAUACAUGCACACGCUCGCGCGCCAGAGCAAACGCGAAGAUCAUCUCACAUUAUUCAUCAAAACACUUUAUUUUCUCUUGUUUUGUCUUACCCACAACCACAUAGAUGUUUGUCCAUAAAAAUCUAUAUCAUUCAAGCGUGUCUCGUGAAUUUCCAACAAAGGAGAGACGAUGGCAGAAGUAGGGUAGGAGGGGGUGUAGGAGGAAGAGUAGUAGUAGUAGUAUAUGGAGGGGAGGGAGACAUGCACCAGUUCACAUGUUUUUGAAGUCAUUCAUAAAAUUUGCCUUCUCCGCAUCGCCAAAAUUUCAGUCGUCUGUUAUGGAACACAACAAAGACUAGACUAAUCGCUCACUUAGCGCGCUUUUUUGUUUUCCUGGAAGAAGAGAAGAGUUUGUUUUAUCGAUUAGUUACAUUUUCGCGUAUUAUUUUUAUUUUAGUGUUUUCUUGUUUGUUCGUUUACAUUUUUUUUCUUUGAUUUUACUUUUAAAUGGUUAUUUUUAUUUGAUCUCACUUUUUAUGUUUUAAAAUUUUCGUUAAUUUUUUUUUUAUGCAACCGGAAAUUGCAGUUGUUUGUUUCUUGGUUGUUUAUACUGAUUUAUUUAUUUAUAUUGUUGUUGUCGUCGUUGUGUUUGUUGUAUCUAUCGUCUCGUCGUCUUGUAUUUUUUUUUGUUUUUGUUUUUUGCUGCUGUAUUAUUUGUCUAUUGUUCUUUCUGAAGUUGUUAGGGUAGGCAGUGAGUUUAGCAAGAACUGGUACAGUAACAAACAGACGUUAGCUAAAUGUGUUUGCAAUCUUUGCUCCCGUCUCCGCCAUCAUUUCUCUAUUCCGAGUUCAAAUUCAGCUGGAUGUAGACUUCAAAGUUACAUCCCAAUGGAGCGCCAAACGCAUUGUUUAGACGAUGACAGCAACAUCCGGAACAACAACUGCGACAACAAGAAUAUGGGAAUCAUGUUCUUUACACAUAUCGCUAUUACUAAUGUAGUUGGUGUAGAUGUUGUUGUCAAUGAUAUCAUCGUUAUUACUGUUUCCCCCAUUGUUAAUCAUAUUGCGAAUGCUGUCAUUCUUAUCAUUAGAGCCGUUUCGACAUUGCCAUUCAUGUUGUUAAUGUUGUCGCUUUUGUUAUCGUAAUUAUUUUCGCUUCCACAUUGCCAUUCUUGGUCAUGUUAAUUGUUUGGUCCCUUUUCUACAGCCGAUGCCGCCGCUGCUAGCAGCAGCAGCAGUAGUAGUUAUUAUUGUUGAUGUUGUUUUUGUGCUAGUUGUUUUGUCCCAGGUCGGUCCCUAUUGAGUAGAUCAAUGGCGAUCAGUCAUCUUAAUCUCGUUUUUUUUUUUCGUUUUUCUUUGUCGCUUCUGUCAGACAUAUUUUAUCUACAACUACAUUAUUCAAUGUACAUUUUCAUGUUUUUUAAGAUGCUAGAAUAUGAGAUGCAGCACGGAUCUUUGUCAGUGAACAGGUCGCGGUCUUAAAGCGACGAAAAUAUUUUGACAAAUUAAACUUAAAUGUUGAAGUGAAUCGAACGGCUUUUGUGUGUUUCUUAAAUGGCUUACAAACACCUUCCACGCUGCAAUUGUUUUCGUUUCAUCACACGAUCUCAGAUCAAAUCACUUGCUACGCAAGUACAUCUCCGUAACAUAGAAGAGCGACCACAUAGUGGUAUUCUCAUUGGAUCAGUCUUGUUCUUGUUGCUUAAUCCUAGUUAGCCCUGACUGCAAUGUUUUAAAAGACAAUAGGGCGCAGUUUGAGGGAAAAUAUUUGCUGUUAUUUCUGCUAGAUGGGGCAACUACACAAAAACCUCCUUCCCCCUCAUGACUUCGGUGUUACAGCCCCUGCUACUACUGCUGCUGCUGGUGAUGUUGCUGUUGGUGUUGUUGGUGCUGCUGCUUUUGUUGCCGCUUCUCUGGCUGUUGCUGUUUUUGUUAGUAAUAAUGUUGUCACCAUCCAUUCAUUGUUUUGUAGAAUGGUUUAACCCUUGACGUUGAACUUUUGAAUCCCUUACUGAAUCCUUUCCCCCACUUCAUUUUCUGUAAGGUUUACUUUUUAUAUUUUUUAGGUUUUAUCAUUUUUAUUUUCAUUUUCGUUUUUAUUUCCUUUAGUUGGGAAUUCAUCCGACUUGGAACAGGAGAGGCGUAAGCAAUCCCGUUGCAGUGUAGCUCAUGAGAAGAUUGGCGGGGUUGAAGCGAUGAUAGAUGGGGAAACGGGUGAGGAAAAUGAGGGAGUGUUACAUAAAGAGAGAGAGAGAGAGAGAGAAAGAAAGAAAGAAAGAGAGAAAGAGAAAGCGUGAGGGAGGGAGGGAGAAAUAUGUAGAGAAUUGGCGUGAGGGAAUGAAAGGAAAUGAGAAAGUGUGAGCGAGAGAUUGAGUGGAGACAAAACUACUGAGUCAGAACAUUUUAAUAUGCCUUUAUAGGGGUUUUUUCUCCAUCUUUCACCUUCUUAUCUUCUUCUCCUUAUCUUCUUUCAGGUUGAGAGAAAGGCAAGCAGACAGACCGACGAGCCAACAGAAAUACGGACAGAAAGAAAGAAAGAAAAUGAAAGACAACUUUAAAAAGAGCGGUUAAUUGAAGAAGAAGAAGAAGAAGAAGAAGAAGAAGAAGAAGAAGAAGAAGAAGAAGAAGAAGAAGAAGAAGAAGAAGAAGAAGAAGAAGAACUACAAAAAACAAAACAAAAAAGCAGAAGAAGAAGAAGAAGAAAAAAAAGAAGACAGAAGAAAUAACAUGAGAUAAAGAGAGAUAAAAGCAAAUGAGAGAAUCACAGAAUUCAAAGUAUAUUCAUAA